rnacentral:rRNA from 1 species
CACCCUGAGCAUGGCUGAUCUUGUCUGAUCUCAAAAGCUAAGCAGGGUUG